rnacentral:rRNA from 1 species
AUGAAAAGAGGCAUACCUGCUUCACCAACUCCCACAAAGGGGGAGGCAUCAAGCUCAAAAAUUAUAAAGAAGGAAGAAUCCCCAAAAUAUAAGACAUAUCAAGAAUGCCUUCUAAAGGGGCUUGACCCUUUAGACAGUGAAUACAUAGAUCAAGAAAUGGAUAAAAGGUUUGAAGAAUUUUCAAAGAUAACAAAGAAAGAAUUAAAGGAGGAAAUAUUAAAAGAAUUAAGGCAAGAAAUGGAUGAAAAAUUUGAGGAAAUAAAGAAAGAAUAUGAUGAAAAAUAUGAUUUCAAUCUGAUAAAUGAUGAUGAUCAUAUGGACAUAGCAGGGCAUGGGCAGCGGCCAGAAUAA